UGGGGAAUAUUGGACAAUGGGCGAAAGCCUGAUCCAGCAAUGCCGCGUGAGUGAUGAAGGCCUUAGGGUUGUAAAGCUCUUUUACCUGGGAUGAUAAUGACAGUACCAGGAGAAUAAGCCCCGGCUAACUCCGUGCCAGCAGCCGCGGUAAUACGGAGGGGGCUAGCGUUGUUCGGAAAUACUGGGCGUAAAGCGCACGUAGGCGGCUCAGCAAGUCAGGGGUGAAAUCCCGGGGCUCAACCCCGGAACUGCCCUUGAAACUGGAGAGCUAGAAUCUUGGAGAGGCGAGUGGAAUUCCGAGUGUAGAGGUGAAAUUCGUAGAUAUUCGGAAGAACACCAGUGGCGAAGGCGACUCGCUGGACAAGUAUUGACGCUGAGGUGCGAAAGCGUGGGGAGCAAACA
rnacentral:rRNA from 1 species